GCUCCAUGCUCAUAGCUCAGUUGGUAGAGAAUGAGACUCAACCUCAGGGUCGUGGGUUUGAUCCCCACAUCAGGCA